AUCUUCCUGGAGAUUCCUGUAUAUCUGAGGUCUUCUUAAGAUGACAUCCAGCUGAGCUCUCAGCAGCGUUGUUUUCAUUUGUCAGUUGUGGUGGGGGAAGAACAAUCUGCCAGGGCUCAGCCUACUCACAGCCUUCUCUCUGCCAAGUGUGUUCCAUGGGGAAUAUGUGGGCAGCAGCCCCUGAGCUCCCCAGAGCUGCCGUUCAGCCAGCCCUUAUGUGCCCUGGACAAGACAAGGGGCUGUACGCAGGACAGCAAUGCCACAAUCAACCUGUUGGUGGUGAAUAGCAAUGAUCGGUCCUAUUUGGAGCAUAUUGUUUUUUCAAGCACAGCACGUGUUUUCUGUUCAAAGCAAAGCCUGGCACCAAGAGCUGCCUGGUAAUGAAGGUAGCCAUGAGGGGAUGUCCAGCAAGCUCUGACAUGUCACCUCCCUUUGAAUUUUCACCUUCCUCGAGUUCAAGCAGCCCACUGGCAUCACUUGCUGUUCCACCAAUGGUUUUCCUUUUAUGGCUGAGAGCUUUUUCUAGCUAAUUGUGAAGAAGGCCAUUUUUAGCAUGCCCGGUACGUGCAUGCAUCACAGCAGUGAGCCAUUGCCUCCGUCUCCUCAUCAUGGCACUGUUUGCUUCCAUCCUCUCUGUAGUACAGUACAUUCUAUGUUGUGAAUCAUUUUCAUGCAAAAAUAGAAAACACCGAUGCUUCUGUGUUCACUUCAUAACAGGAUCAAGAGCUGGCACCCUGCAAUUAAGGCACCAGGUUUAGUGGCAUUGUAACAAAUUGCUGCACAGACAGGCUUGCGUGGCAGCUGCGGAGAGAUUAAGAGACCCCUGAACAAAUGUUUCCCCCCCAAAAUAAUUCAAUUCUGGUCCUUAGGGAAGAUUGAAAAUAACACAUAGAUAUGUAGUGCCAGGUUCAAAAAAGGGCUCAGAUACUGUAAUAAUAGUGCCAUAUCUAAAGGUAAAAUGAAAUGCUCUUGUGCACGAUGCUAAGCCAGGGGACUAUGGUCCCUGUGAAGUGAAUGGGGGAACGAAGCGCCCCAGAAUCUGUUCACCCUGAUUCAACCUGCAGGAGGUGGGAAGGCAGGCGCUGUGGCCCGGCAGCAUUUUGGCCAUCUCGCUGCUCUGCAGGCCGGUUCUGCUGAGCUGUUCCUCCUGGACCCGAGCCACUCCAGGCCAGGAGUGCUGUCCUCAUCAGCAGAGUGCCAAGUCUGACCUAGUAAUCCUGCCGGAUUACUCGGGCUCGCUGCUACUCUAAUAUGGCUGCUCAGCUUCUCCCCAGCCCACAGCCUGCGCCUGCCUUGGAUCUGGGCAGAGAAGGCCCAAGCCUCAUGCAGAAGAUAAUGAAGACCUCCCCUUAGGUGCCUGACUCGGGCCAGCACAGAUGUUCACUUUGUGAAGUGUGGCACUGAUUGGAGACUUUACUGCUUUCCAGCUGCUCACCAUGGCUGUCAUUGAGUCCUGCUGGAAGAAGAGGCUGUGUCAAUACUUUCACUUCUGAUUUAGCAAGUUCAAUCAGGUAAACUUAGACGCCAGCUGUUUCAUCUUAUGUAAUACUCCAGCAGUAGAAUAACAAGCAUUCUUCAGUGAAAAUACAUCCAAAUAGCUUUUCUUCUGCCCUCCAUUUCUUUUUCCAAACUGAAAGCUCUAUGACUAGAGAGUCAUUCAGCAAAGCACAGAAUGCACAGAGGUGAACCACAGCUGUCUCACUGCUUGGCGUGGCCUUUCUGUAGCUGGCAGCUGCAUAAAUGACAUGCUGAAGGAAGAACUAAAAUGGAGCUGCUGCGGCCUUGAUUUUCAUCUCUCACGGUAAAUCAGGAACUGUAUUACAGAAGCCGGAGGAGUCACGUGACAGUGCUGCUACCAAAGUGAUUAGGAUCAGCCUUGGUAUGGCAAGUGCUUGAAGGCAUUUCAAAUUUCAUACAGUUGUAAUUUAAGCAAGAAUGGAAUUCUGUACAUUAUUUCUAUGCCACAGAGAC
ensembl:lncRNA